rnacentral:rRNA from 1 species
AUUGAACGCUGGCGGCAUGCCUAACACAUGCAAGUCGAGCGGACGAAGGGAGCUUUCUCCUGGCUUCAGCGGCGGACGGGUGAGUAAUUCCUAGGAAGCUGCCUGGUAUUUGGGGAUAACGUCCGGAAACGGGCGCUAAUACCGCAUACGUCCUGAUGUUGAACGGCGGGGAUCUUCGGACCUCACGCUAUCUGAUGACCCUAGGUCGGAUUAGCUAGUUGGUGUGGUAAAGGCCUACCAAGGCGACGAUCCGUAACUGGUCUGAGAGGAUGAUCAGUCACACUGGAACUGAGACACGGUCCAGACUCCUACGGGAGGCAGCAGUGGGGAAUAUUGGGCAAUGGGCGAAAGCCUGAUCCAGCCAUGCCGCGUGUGUGAAGAAGGUCUUCGGAUUGUAAAGCACUUUAAGUUGGGAGGAAGGGAAGUAAGUUAAUACAUUGAUGUUUUGACGUUACCAACAGAAUAAGCACCGGCUAACUUCGUG